UGCAGUCGACGAUGAAGCCCUUCGGGGUGGAUUAGUGGCGAACGGGUGAGUAACACGUGGGCAAUCUGCCCUUCACUCUGGGACAAGCCCUGGAAACGGGGUCUAAUACCGGAUAACACUCUGUCCCGCAUGGGACGGGGUUGAAAGCUCCGGCGGUGAAGGAUGAGCCCGCGGCCUAUCAGCUUGUUGGUGGGGUGAUGGCCUACCAAGGCGACGACGGGUAGCCGGCCUGAGAGGGCGACCGGCCACACUGGGACUGAGACACGGCCCAGACUCCUACGGGAGGCAGCAGUGGGGAAUAUUGCACAAUGGGCGAAAGCCUGAUGCAGCGACGCCGCGUGAGGGAUGACGGCCUUCGGGUUGUAAACCUCUUUCAGCAGGGAAGAAGCGAAAGUGACGGUACCUGCAGAAGAAGCGCCGGCUAACUACGUGCCAGCAGCCGCGGUAAUACGUAGGGCGCAAGCGUUGUCCGGAAUUAUUGGGCGUAAAGAGCUCGUAGGCGGCUUGUCGCGUCGGAUGUGAAAGCCCGGGGCUUAACCCCGGGUCUGCAUUCGAUACGGGCAGGCUAGAGUGUGGUAGGGGAGAUCGGAAUUCCUGGUGUAGCGGUGAAAUGCGUAG
rnacentral:rRNA from 1 species